CUUCGGCGUUUGAAGUGGCUUAACUUGUUAGGUUCUUUGGGACCAUUUUAGAUGUCUAUCUAUAACAGGAAUUUUAAUGUUUUGACGAAGUUCUGGGAUUAGUUCUUAGCUAUAAAUGUCUAAUCAUGCCUCAGAAAAGGGUCUAUUAAGGAAGAUACAACUGAAUCUUUAAUGGGGUCCAUGGUUUACAAUUUUCUCAAGAUAUUUGUAGAAAUUUCUUGAAGAUUGGAAAAAAAAGAGGACCACAUGGAAGAAAGUUAAACAUGUGAUGUAAGUAAAACUGCUCCUAUAUCAUACCCAUUUGUUAUUUGUCAUUAUGUCUCAGAAAGCUGAAGCUGAUCCUCAAGUCACUCCCUCACAAGGGGUUUUGCUUCUUCACACGCUACCUCUACACAAAAUAUCAAACACUAUCUGUUUGGGUAUUUUUACCUGUAUUUUAAUAUAUAGACCAAAAGAUCCAGAUUAUUUCGGACUAUGGAUCAUGUAGUUUACUUCCCUCUUCAUUAAUCAGCGUGGAAGUCAGGGCCUGGUCGAGCUCCCAUGCUAGAUUCAGUUGGUUAAAUGGAGUUUGUUUAUUUCUUGAACUAUAGUAUCCGACAGGGUGAUAAAUAAACAUCACGAUGCGGUGCGGUUGAUGAUGAUAUAAACCUUAAGUAAUUCAUUAGGGUAUUGAUUAGGUUUGUGUUGUCAUCAAGAAAUGAAUAUGGGAAGAGUCACAUCUCUUAGUUUUGCUUAAAGUCUAGGCAACAUGUCUUUGGGAGCUGACCUCAUUCUCUUCUGUAAAUGCUUUGUAAUAGGGCUUAUGGGAUCAGGCAAGAGCCGUAAAGAGAUUCUGGCACUAAACCCAAAUAAAGGAAAAAAAAUGAUGAAAUAAAUUAUAACAACUCUUGGGUUUAUUCGAGUUUGCUUACCCAACUAUGUUCCAUCUUGUUUUAUGUAGUUUAAUUAUGGUGUGGUAGUUGGGAGUGAACAAAAUACGAAAGGAAAAGGAUUUGGGUACAAGAGAUCUAUAUAUCUUUUUCUGAUGAAUGAUGAUGCAUUUUCCCCACCUUCGUAGUGUUUCUUGUGAAAUUAAUAAUAAAUCUCAGCUUAUUAGUACAUCUUGUCUUUAGGUGUCUCUCAACUUCAGUUGCUAUAAUAUUCUGGAUUAGCAAUUUAACAUUUACUUUCUACGUUUGCAUUUGUAGUUUUUGUUUGCGUGUAGCUUUGGUUUGUUAUUAGUUUUACAAUUCACUACCAGAGUAGAGAUGUUUCCCUUUUUAUAGUUUAAACAUUAAGACAAAAGUUAAGUAAAUCUAAGGCGAAUUAUACAUACAUAUUGAAUGUGGUUGGUGGAAGUGACACAUAACCAUGCAAUGUGAGUAAGAAAAAGGCGUGUGGGUAAUGGCUGAUUUGUGAAGAUGUGUGGGUCUUAGUCUCAACUCUCAAGUCGCAACCCACUUGGAAUUUUAUACAAAUUUGAAUUUCAUAAAACAAGUCAGCCUUAUACGACUCUUCCCACC
rnacentral:lncRNA from 1 species